rnacentral:rRNA from 1 species
UGGGGAAUAUUGCACAAUGGGCGAAAGCCUGAUGCAGCAACGCCGCGUGAGGGACGACGGCCUUCGGGUUGUAAACCUCUUUUAGCAAGGAAGAAGCGAAAGUGACGGUACUUGCAGAAAAAGCGCCGGCUAACUACGUGCCAGCAGCCGCGGUAAUACGUAGGGCGCAAGCGUUAUCCGGAAUUAUUGGGCGUAAAGAGCUCGUAGGCGGUUUGUCGCGUCUGCUGUGAAAACCCGAGGCUCAACCUCGGGCCUGCAGUGGGUACGGGCAGACUAGAGUGCGGUAGGGGAGAUUGGAACUCCUGGUGUAGCGGUGGAAUGCGCAGAUAUCAGGAAGAACACCGAUGGCGAAGGCAGAUCUCUGGGCCGUAACUGACGCUGAGGAGCGAAAGGGUGGGGAGCAAACAGGCUUAGAUACCCUGGUAGUCCACCCCGUAAACGUUGGGAACUAGUUGUGGGGUCCAUUCCACGGAUUCCGUGACGCAGCUAACGCAUUAAGUU